rnacentral:rRNA from 1 species
AGUGAACGCUGGCGGUAGGCCUAACACAUGCAAGUCGAACGGCAGCACAGUAAGAGCUUGCUCUUACGGGUGGCGAGUGGCGGACGGGUGAGGAAUACAUCGGAAUCUACUUUUUCGUGGGGGAUAACGUAGGGAAACUUACGCUAAUACCGCAUACUACCUACGGUUGAAAGCAGGGGAUCUUCGGACCUUGCGCGAUUGAAUGAGCCGAUGUCGGAUUAGCUAGUUGGCGGGGUAAAGGCCCACCAAGGCGACGAUCCGUAGCUGGUCUGAGAGGAUGAUCAGCCACACUGGAACUGAGAAACGGUCCAGACUCCUACGGGAGGCAGCAGUGGGGAAUAUUGGACAAUGGGCGCAAGCCUGAUCCAGCCAUACCGCGUGGGUGAAGAAGGCCUUCGGGUUGUAAAGCCAUUUUGUUGGGAAAGAAAAGCAGCAGGUUAAUACCCCGCUGUUCUGACGGUACCCAAAGAAUAAGCACCGGCUAACUUCGUG